GGUUGCGAUCAUUCCAGCACUAAUGCACCGGAUUCCAUCAGAACUCCGCAGUUAAGCGUGCUUGGGGAAGAGUAGUACUAGGAUGGGUGACCCCCUAGGAAGUCCUCGUGUUGCAACCC
rnacentral:rRNA from 1 species